AUGUUUUUAAAACCAGAUGGACUCACUAAAAUUAUUUUGUUAAAACAACAGGGACUAAAUAAUAACUGUUUUUCGUUUUUAAGAAUGUCCGUUAUCCUUUCACUGUUCCGUUCACUGCCUCAGUCCUCUACUCAGUGAGAUGAUGAUGAUGGCGGUGGUUCUAGAAGGAACCCAUGGCUUCUUACCCAAUUCUAACCAAUACAUUCUCUGGUUUCCACCACCACCAACAACAACAACCAAUCAAAAACCUCUCUCAACACCGCCAAGAAUAUCAAAACGACACCGUACUCGUCUCACCAAAGCAGCAGCAGCAGAAACGCAAGAAAUCCGAGUCUGUACGAACCGCACAUGCCGUAAACAAGGCUCAUUUCAAACUCUAGAAGUCGUCACCGAUUUAGCCCCUCCGGAUAUAACCGUCAAGUCCAGUGGCUGCUUAGGCCGUUGUGGCUCUGGUCCAAACGUCGCCCUUUUGCCUCAAGGAAUAAUAGUGAAUCAUUGCGGUACCGCUGCUAAAGCUGCACAGUUCAUGGCUACCGCUGCUAAUGUUAGCGAUGGAAAUAUAAGUAAGAGUUUGGAAGCCCUUGCUUUGAGAAAAACAGCUCAGGCUGAAUCCGAUCUUGCAAAUUUCUCCAAGGCCGAGGAAUUACUCUCACUGGCUAUCGAUCUUCAACCAUUUGGUGGUAUCCACAUCAUGUAUAAAUACAGGUCGCUUGCAAGAUUGGCAAUGAGAAACUAUUCGGGUGCUCUUGAAGAUGCAAGAGAAGCUUUAAGAUUAGCUCCUCGAUAUCUUGAGGCUUACAUGUGCGAAGGUGAUGUUUUCAUGGCCAUGGAAGAAUAUGAUGCAGCGGAGAAGUCAUAUUUGACUUGUUUACAGAUAGACCCAUCUAUUCGUCGUUCUAAAUCUUUCAAGACUCGGGUGGAAAAGCUUAACAAGAAGCUAACUGCUGCAAAUAUGCCUCUCAAUCAGCAUGAAUGAAUCCACCUGUGUAUGCAUAUUACAAUCUGAGGGAUUAAAGUCUUGAAGGUUCUCUGCAUCCAGGAAAAUGUUCCUGUGCUGGUCAAAAUAAGCCUGGCAUGACUGGUGUUUUGGAACCCACAAAUACCAUAGAGCAAGCAAUUCAUGAGGCUGCUAGUAAGAUGACUGUCGAUUGAUUGAAGGAUUAGAUGUGGAAGAUACCGUGAAGAGUAAUUCAGGCUCGAGAACGAGUGAGGUGGAGCAGUGAAAUAGGAAACUGGCAACCUAUCAUUAUACCAAUAUCGGAGACAGAUGAGCCUGAGCGGUGUAGCUUAAUUAGUUAGGUUCUAGAUUUAGUUUUUAGAGAUCACCAGUUCGAAUCUCACAAAUUUCAGGGUCACUGGAGACUUACAUAGUCGUUAAUUUCAGGACUUGUGAGAUUAGUCAAGAUGCUCGCAAGUGGUCUGAACAUCCACAUUAAUAAUUAUAUAUAUAAAACAAAAA